GCCUCUGAUGAUGAUGAAAAAUAUAACUUUCGUUCUUCCGAUAUUUCCAUGAGGAAAACGUUUGGAGACCUGAACUGAAGAGGC
rfam:Glycine soja cultivar W05 scaffold1064_12, whole genome shotgun sequence.